rnacentral:other from 1 species
AUUAACCUGAAAUGUGCGGCAACUCCUGUUGUUUUGAACCUACAGAUACUUUAAACGGGAUUCCUACAUUGCCAAGCGGCUGUCAAGCCUCCACUCGUAAGAGGAUUGCAGGGGAAGGCAAAAGCUUUGGUUGCGGUUACCCACCUAGCAUAGCUAGGAGUCAAAAGACAGGAAUCGGCAUUUUGGGGAUAUA